GCUUAUGGUUUCAUACCGCUAUCAUCAUGAUACUUUAUAACUAACACUACAGGAUUAUUUUCACUCUGAACCAUCACUCAGCACUACGGCCAGACUUGUAGUUAUUUCUCUGACAGGGGUUAUAUGGGGAGGUCUAUUGAUUCAAGACAAGCCAUGCUACCCCAGGUCACUACUUCUGGUUAAGUAGUUUGCCAGUAAACACACCUCAGGGAAUGCUACAGACUGACAUCUCCUGAAUGAAGAUCCCCUGCUAGCCUCAUCAAACAGCCAUCUAUUCCCGAUGUUACAGUUGUCCUUCUGGGCUCCUGACCUGCAUGAAAAGCUAUUCCUCUACAGUCUCACCAUGAUGGCCGUGAUGUGGGGCCAGUCAUCAACUGGAGAGUCACCAUUACACAGGUGUGCUGCAGAGUUCACUUCCACGGUAGCAAACACAAGGAGGACAGGUCACUUCAACUGACAUCUCCUGGAUCACACAUCAGUCUCUGAGUCAAAGAAGAGGCUGGCAGAGAGGAUUUAGUGUGCUACACAAAUGAGAAAAAUGAAGAGAGUGCGGGGACAAAAUAAAGUAUGUUCUGUUGGUAUUAGAGUUGGACCUGUCCACUGAAAUGGUCCAGUCCUCAUGCUGCAAAAAUAUGGGCUGGAGUACAGCCCCAACUCUACUAAGAAAUUCAUUGAAGGUCCAUAUAAAACCACCAUAUAAAAUUGUUUUACAAUGUAGACAAAUGGGUAAGUCUACCCCAGUAGAACUGCAAAUCCUAGUUAUAAAAACAGCUUUAAUGCCA
ensembl:lncRNA